AUUGAACGCUGGCGGCAGGCCUAAUACAUGCAAGUCGGACGGGAUUGAGUAGCUUGCUAUUCAUGAGAGUGGCGCACGGGUGCGUAACACGUAUGUAACCUACCCUUGUCAGGGGGAUAGCCUCUCGAAAGAGAGAUUAAGACCGCAUAACAUUGUAAUGUGGCAUCACAAAACAAUCAAAUAUUUAUAGGACAAGGAUGGGCAUGCGGAACAUUAGCUAGUUGGUAAGGUAACGGCUUACCAAGGCUACGAUGUUUAGGGGAUCUGAGAGGAUGACCCGCCACACUGGAACUGAGACACGGACCAGACGCCUACGGGAGGCAGCGGUAAGGAAUAUUGGUCAAUGGGCGGAAGCCUGAACCAGCCAUGCCGCGUGCGGGAAGACGGCCCUAUGGGUUGUAAACUGCUUUUGCAGGGGAAUAAACCUCGAUACGUGUAUCGAGCUGAAUGUACUCUGAGAAUAAGGAUCGGCUAACUCCGUGCCAGCAGCCGCAGUAACAC
rnacentral:rRNA from 1 species